rnacentral:rRNA from 1 species
GGGAAUUAGGGUUCGAUUCCGGAGAGGGAGCCUGAGAAACGGCUACCACAUCUAAGGAAGGCAGCAGGCGCGCAAAUUACCCAAUCCCGGCUCGGGGAGGUAGUGACAAAAAAUAACAAUGCGGGACUCUUAUGAGGCUUCGUAAUUGGAAUGAGUACAUUCUAAAUCCUUUAACGAGGAACUAUUGGAGGGCAAGUCUGGUGCCAGCAGCCGCGGUAAUUCCAGCUCCAAUAGCGUAUAUUAAAGUUGUUGCGUCUAAAAAGCUCGUAGUUUGAAAACUUGCCUUGGCUUACAACAGACGUCUGAGGGCGUCACCGUUUGUCGAGAGCAAAUAUGGGUGACUGUUCUUGCCUUCUUCACUGAUUGGCUCGUAAAAGUCAUCGAAGAUCACUUUGAUUAAAUUAGGGUGCUCAAAGCAAGUGUGCUACUUGAAUAUGAAUGCAUGGAAUGAUGGAAUAUGUUGUUGUUCUAUUUGUUGGUUUUUUGAAUGACGAAAUGAUUGAAAGGAACUGUUGGGGGCAUUCGUAUUGUUGUGAGAGAGGUGAAAUUCUUAGACCAUAGCAAGACGAACUACUGCGAAAGCAUUUGCCAAGAAUGUUUUCAUUGAUCAAGAACGAAAGUUAGAGGUUCGAAGGCGAUCAGAUACCGCCCAAGUUCUAACCAUAAACUAUGCCGACUAGCAAUUUGCUUUGUAUUUUUAUGACUAAGUGAGAGGCCACGGGAAACCAAAGUAGGGUUAUGGGGGAGGUAUGGUUGCAAAGCUGAAACUUAAAGGAAUUGACGGAAGGGCACCACCAGGAGUGGAGCCUGCGGCUUAAUUUGACCCAACACGGGAAAACUUACCUGGUCCUGACACUAGAAGGAUUGACAGAUUGAUAGCUCUUUCUUGAUUUGGUGGAUGGUGGUGCAUGGCCGUUCUUAGUUGGUGGAGUGAUUUGUCUGGUUAAUUCCGAUAACGAACGAGACUCUAGCCUAUUAAAUAAUAUGCGGAAUCAAUUUCUCCCGCGUUAUUUCUUAAUGGGAUCAAGCGUGUUUAACGCUUUGAAACAGAGCAAUAACAGGUCUGUGAUGCCCUUAGAUGUUCGGGGCUGCACGCGCGCUACAUUGAAGAACAAAGUGAGCCCUCUGGCUUUUAACAAAGCUAGAAAUCUUUUAAUGUUCUUCUUAAUGGGGAUAGGGGAUUGCAAUUGUGCCCCUUGAACGAGGAAUUCCCAGUAAGUGCUAGUCAUUAGCUAGUACUGAUUACGUCCCUGCCCUUUGUACACACCGCCCGUCGCUACUACCGAUUGAAUAGUUUAGUGAGAUCAUCUGAGUGUUUGUAUGCGCAUUCUGUGCUUGUAUGGUGUACGAAGAGGAUCAAACUUGAUUAUUUAGAGGAAGUAAAAGUCGUAACAAGGUU